GUUUGAAGCAUGUUCAUGAUUAAAUCUGUAUGCUGGCUUAUUUGAGUGACUGCUCUCUGAUUGUAUCUUCCUCAGUCCUAGUUCUUCCUCUUCUUCUUCUUCUUCUUUUUUUUUUUUUCUUUUCUUUUUUCUUCCCUUUCCUUCCUUUCUUUUUGGUUUAGAGAAGCCCUUUCAAUAUUUCCUUUAACCUGGGUUUUGUGUUGCUGUAUUCUUUAAGUUUUUGUUUGUUGGGAAAAAUUUUUAUUUCCCCUUCUAUUUUAAAUGAUAUUCUUGCUGGAUAAAGUAUUCUAGGUUGCAUAUUUUUUCCUUUGAGCACUUUAAAUAUCUCUUGCCAUUCCCUCCUGGCCUGUAGUGUUUCUGUAGAGAAAUCAGCUGAUAUUCUUAUGGGGGUUCCCUUGUAGGUAACAUUCUGUUUUUCUCUUGCUGCCUUUAGGAUCCUCUCUUUAUCACUAACUUUUGCCAUUUUUAUUAUGAUGUGUCUUGGUGUGGGUCUGUUUGGGUUCAGUUUGUUUGGGGCUGUAAGAUUCUAGAAAAUUGUCCAUUUCUUCCAGAUUGUCAAACUUAUUGCCAUAUAGUUGUUCAUAGUAUUCUCUUAUGGUUUUUUGAAUUUCUGCUGUAUCCGUUGUGAUUUCUCCUUUUUCAUUUAUAAUUUUGGUGAUUUGGGUUCUUUCUCUCCUCUUUUUAGUGAGUCUGGCCAGGGGUUUAUCAAUUUUGUUCACCUUUUCAAAGAACCAGCUCUUGGUUUUAUUAAUUUUCUCUAUUGUUUUUUGAGUCUCUAUUUUAUUGAUUUCUUCUUUGAUCUUUACAAUUUCCUUCCUUCUGCUGACUUUAGGACUUCUUUGUUCUUCUUUUUCUAAUUCAUUUAGGUGGAGGGUUAAGUUGUCAAUUUGGGAUCUUUCUUCUUUUUUGAGAAAGGCCUGGAUUGCUAUAAAUUUCCCUCUGAGCACUGCUUUCGCAGCAUCCCAUAGAUUUUGAGAGGUUGUGUCUUCAUUAUCAUUUGUUUCAAGAUAGUUUUUAAUUUCCUUCUUGAUUUCCUCAUUGACCCAUUGGUUUUUUAGUAGCAUGUUGUUUAGUCUCCAUGGAGUAGGUUUUUUCUCUUUCCUUUUCCCAUGGUUGAUUUCUAAUUUCAUGGCAUUGUGGUCAGAGAAGAUACUUGAGAUAAUUUCUAUGCUCCUAAAUUUAUUGAGAUUCGCUUUAUGUCCCAAUAUGUGGUCGAUUCUUGAGAAUGUUCCAUGAGCAUUUGAGAAGAAUGUGUAUUCUGAUUUUUUUGGAUGUAGUGUCCUGAAGAUAUCAAUUAAGUCUAACUUUUCUAUUGUUUCCUUUAGGAUCUCUGUUGCUUUAUUGGUUUUCUGUCUAGAGGAUCUGUCCAUUGAUGUGAGGGGGGUAUUUAGGUCUCCUACUAUGAUUGUAUUCUCAUCAAUAUCUCCCUUUAUGUCUGUUAAUAUUUGUUGUAUGUAUCUGGGUGCUCCUAUGUUUGGGGCAUAUAUGUUGAUGAUAGUAACAUCCUCUCCUUGGAUGGAUCCCUUAAUCAUUAAAUAGUGUCCUUCUUUGUCUUUCUUUAUGUCUUUUGUUUUAAAGUCUAUUUUGUCUGAUAUGAGCGUUGCAACUCCUGCUUUUCUGUCAUGUCUAUUGGCAUGAAAUACUUUUCCCCAGCCUUUCACUUUCAAUCUAUAUGUAUCUUUUGUCCUAAGGUGAGUUUCUUGUAGGCAGCAUAUUGAAGGUUUUUGCCGUUUUAUCCACUCAGCCAUUCUGUGUCUUUUGAUUGGGGCAUUCAGUCCAUUGACAUUUAAGGUGAUAAUUGAUAGAUGAUUAUUUAUUGCCAUUUGAUCCUCGUGUUCCAGUUGAUUCUAUGGUUCUCCAUUCUUCUUUUUUUUUUUUUUUUUUUUUUUUGGUUGGAUGGUCUCCUGUUAUUAUCUGCUUGAGUGUAUUUUUUUUUUUCAUUUUUUGCAAAUGCAAUAUUUGGUUUUGGCUUGUGGUUGCCCUGUUUUUUAAGUAUGCUAACCCCUUCCCAUAAUUGUGUGUUUUAGCCUGAUGGUCCUGUAAGUUCAAACACUUCAUUAUUAUAUUAAAAUUAAGAAGAGAGACAUACAUACAAACAAAAAGGAUUAUUUACCUCCUAACAUCCCUUGCCCACAUUUUAUGGUUUUGAUGACUCUUUUAUUUUUUUCUUUUUAAUUUUAUUUUGUUUGAAGCAUGUUCAUGAUUAAAUCUGUAUGCUGGCUUAUUUGAGUGACUGCUCUCUGAUUGUAUCUUCCUCAGUCCUAGUUCUUCCUCUUCUUCUUCUUCUUCUUUUUUUUUUUUCUUUUCUUUUUUCUUCCCUUUCCUUCCUUUCUUUUUGGUUUAG
rnacentral:lncRNA from 1 species